rnacentral:misc_RNA from 1 species
GUGAAUCAUCGAAUUUUUGGACGCAAAUUGCACUCUCCUCGAAGAGUAUGCCUGUUUGAGGGCGAGCCUCUAAAAAUCGACAACGUUGCUGUUUCGCGGUGGCGUCCGUCGGAAAUUGGCGCAUCUUAAAUCCUUUUGAUUUAAGCGACUUAAAAUUUUCUUUUGGUUCCAUGAACGAUUAUAAGAUCUAUUUCUUUACACGUUUACGGUAUCGAUUUUUACUAGACGUGACCAUCAUAUCGGAUCGGGUCCAUAAUCCUUCAUUAACUGACCUCAGCCAGGUAAGAGGAACUGU